rnacentral:rRNA from 1 species
ACGAACGCUGGCGGCGUGCUUAACACAUGCAAGUCGAGCGGAAAGGCCUUUCGGGGUACUCGAGCGGCGAACGGGUGAGUAACACGUGAGUAAUCUGCCCUUCACUUCGGGAUAACUAUCGGAAACGGUGGCUAAUACCGGAUAUGACCAAUCACUGCAUGGUGUGUUGGUGGAAAGAUUUAUUGGUGGGGGAUGUGCUCGCGGCCUAUCAGCUUGUUGGUGAGGUAAUGGCUCACCAAGGCUUCGACGGGUAGCCGGCCUGAGAGGUUGACCGGCCACACUGGGACUGAGACACGGCCCAGACUCCUACGGGAGGCAGCAGUGGGGAAUAUUGGACAAUGGGCGGAAGCCUGAUCCAGCAACGCCGCGUGAGGGAUGACGGCCUUCGGGUUGUAAACCUCUUUCGCCUAGGACGAAGCGAGAGUGACGGUACUAGGUAAAGAAGCACCGGCCAACUACGU